rnacentral:rRNA from 1 species
GGGCCCGCACAAGCGGAGGAACAUGUGGUUUAAUUCGAUGAUACGCGAGGAACCUUACCCGGGCUCGAACGGUAGAUGAAUGAUCUGGAAACAGACAGUCCUUCGGGACAUCUAUCGAGGUGCUGCAUGGUUGUCGUCAGCUCGUGCCGUGAGGUGUCGGCUUAAGUGCCAUAACGAGCGCAACCCUUAUCUUUAGUUACCAUCAGGUUAAGCUGGGGACUCUAGAGAGACUGCCACCGUAAGGUGUGAGGAAGGUGGGGAUGACGUCAAAUCAGCACGGCCCUUACGUCCGGGUCGACACACGUGUUACAAUGGGGGGGACAGAAGGUUGCCACUUGGUGACAAGGAGCUAAUCCCCCAAACCCUCUCCCAGUUCGGAUUGGAGUCUGCAACUCGACUCCAUGAAGCUGGAUUCGCUAGUAAUCGCGCAUCAGCCAUGGCG